GGGGGAGGAGUCUGAGUGGUGGGGACAGCAUGGAGCUGAAGUCUAUGUUUAGACAAUGGCUGGCAGCCUAGCCUGCUUCAAGCCCUCUGCUGAUGAGGGCUCAGGCCUCUUACCUGAGCAUCUCUGUGAUGUCACCAUGGCCUUGUUUCUCCUACUAGACCAUGAAGGGAGGGCCUUGAAAAGAAGGCUGAGGCGUUGGGCCUAGGGGGUGCCUCUUCUCCGUUGUUCCCCCCAGACAUUCUGCAGAAGCUCAAUACAUCCACCCAUCCCCUGGCCACAGGAUUAGCUGGUGCACUUGAUGUUGAGGGGCAGUUGCUAGGGCCAAGAGGCCCCCCUAUGUGGUUGCUAAGGGUCUGGCAUGGGGUGAGAGGUCUGCCCACUGCCGCGGUCACGGAGGGAAUUACACAGUCACAAAGAAAUUGUUCUUCUCAGUAAUCUGUUCUCGGCCACCGGGUGGGGUACGGGUGGGGGAGCAGGCUGGAGCCCAGCAGGCUGGGGGCUGUGAUCACAGAGGCGUGUUAGCCCUGGGCUGGGGGCCAGAGACCGAGAACACCAGGGACCAGCACACUAAGCUGCUUUCUCAGCUAUUUCUGUCCCUGGACACAAAGGUGUUUACUUGUUUUAACAUUUCCUAGGACUCUCCUUUCUCCCUUUGUGUGGUCUUUAUCCCCAAUAAGGUUUGAGCCUGAGAUUACAGGCAAGAAUUAAGGCACUGGACUCAGACAGCUCAGAACUGCAUGACCUACCAGAUCAAGGAGUAUAAAGUAACCAAGUGUGUGCUUCUGAGGGGCCGACCCCUUCAGCAAGAGCCAUUCAUUGCCCCAGAGGGAGCAGGCAGCUAGCAUGCAGGUGUGAUGGAGGAGGGCGCAGCAUUGCCCCACCGAGGCUUCAGCUGGGGGCUGAGUACUAGGGGAGGGGCGGGCCAUGUCGCUGUUUGGUCCAGGGCUCCAUAUCUUCCUUCCCUCAGCCCUCUUCCUUUCACUGUCUGCCCUGUUUUCUUCCAGUGGGCAGCUGAUCACACAUCUGGGCAGUGACUUCCCCCCAGGGGCUGGGGUGCUGGAUGUCAUGUAUGAGUCCCCCUCUACACUACUGUCCUGUGGUUAUGAUACCUAUGUCCGCUACUGGGACCUCCGCACAAGUGCCCGGUGAGUGUGCUGGAUAGGGAGCACAGGAGCCCUGUACAGGUGCAGGCUCAUUUUAGUCCUCAGUCAGCCCAGGGCACAGACUCCAGGUCAGCAAGGCCAUAUCAAGUUCAGACUCCCUACCCUUAGGCAGCUCUGGUCACUGUGGCCCGGGAGACUGAAA
rnacentral:lncRNA from 1 species